UUAGGGUUGUGGCUCAGUGGUAGAGCGCUUGCCAGGCAUGUGUGAGUCACUGGGUUCAAUUCUCAGUACCAUAAA
rnacentral:tRNA from 1 species